AAGUAGUUUAAGUUGUGUGCAAGUGGUAGGAGAGCGUUCUAUUUGCGUCGAAGGUAUACCGGUAAGGAGUGCUGGAGCGAAUAGAAGUGAGCAUGCAGGCAUGAGUAGCGAUAAUUAAUGUGAGAAUCAUUAACGCCGUAAACCCAAGGUUUCCUACGCGAUGCUCGUCAUCGUAGGGUUAGUCGGGUCCUAAGUCGAGUCCGAAAGGGGUAGACGAUGGCAAAUUGGUUAAUAUUCCAAUACCAACAUUAGUGUGCGAUGGAAGGACGCUUAGGGCUAAGGGGGCUAGCGGAUGGAAGUGCUAGUCUAAGGUCGUAGGAGGUUAUACAGGCAAAUCCGUAUAACAAUACUCCGAGAACUGAAAGGCUUUUUGAAGUCUUCGGAUGGAUAGAAGAACCCCUGAUGCCGUCGAGCCAAGAAAAGUUUCUAAGUUUAGCUAAUGUUGCCCGUACCGUAAACCGACACAGGUGGGUGGGAUGAGUAUUCUAAGGCGCGUGGAAGAACUCUCUUUAAGGAACUCUGCAAAAUAGCACCGUAUCUUCGGUAUAAGGUGUGGUUAGCUUCGUACUAGGAUUUACUCCGAAAGCGAAGAAACUUACAACAAAGAGUCCCUCCCGACUGUUUACCAAAAACACAGCACUCUGCUAACUCGUAAGAGGAUGUAUAGGGUGUGACGCCUGCCCGGUGCUCGAAGGUUAAUUGAUGGGGUUAGCAUUAGCGAAGCUCUUGAUCGAAGCCCGAGUAAACGGCGGCCGUAACUAUAACGGUCCUAAGGUAGCGAAAUUCCUUGUCGGUUAAAUACCGACCUGCAUGAAUGGCGUAACGAGAUGGGAGCUGUCUCAAAGAGGGAUCCAGUGAAAUUGUAGUGGAGGUGAAAAUUCCUCCUACCCGCGGCAAGACGGAAAGACCCCGUGGACCUUUACUACAGCUUGACACUGCUACUUGGAUAAGAAUGUGCAGGAUAGGUGGGAGGCUUUGAGUAUAUGACGCCAGUUGUAUAUGAGCCAUUGUUGAGAUACCACUCUUUCUUAUUUGGGUAGCUAACCAGCUUGAGUUAUCCUCAAGUGGGACAAUGUCUGGUGGGUAGUUUGACUGGGGCGGUCGCCUCCCAAAUAAUAACGGAGGCUUACAAAGGUUGGCUCAGAACGGUUGGAAAUCGUUCGUAGAGUAUAAAGGUAUAAGCCAGCUUAACUGCAAGACAUACAAGUCAAGCAGAGACGAAAGUCGGUCUUAGUGAUCCGGUGGUUCUGUGUGGAAGGGCCAUCGCUCAAAGGAUAAAAGGUACCCCGGGGAUAACAGGCUGAUCUCCCCCAAGAGCUCACAUCGACGGGGAGGUUUGGCACCUCGAUGUCGGCUCAUCGCAUCCUGGGGCUGGAGCAGGUCCCAAGGGUAUGGCUGUUCGCCAUUUAAAGCGGUACGCGAGCUGGGUUCAGAACGUCGUGAGACAGUUCGGUCCCUAUCUGCCGUGGGCGUAAGAAGAUUGAAGAGAUUUGACCCUAGUACGAGAGGACCGGGUUGAACAAACCACUGGUGUAGCUGUUGUUCUGCCAAGAGCAUCGCAGCGUAGCUAAGUUUGGAAAGGAUAAACGCUGAAAGCAUCUAAGCGUGAAGCCAACUCUAAGAUGAAUCUUCUCUAAGCUCUCUAGAAGACUACUAGUUUGAUAGGCUGGGUGUGUAAUGGAUGAAAGUCCUUUAGCUGACCAGUACUAAUAGAGCGUUUGGCUUAUCU
rnacentral:rRNA from 1 species